rnacentral:tRNA from 1 species
UUUUGGGUGGCUCAGAUGGUAAAGAAUCUGCCUGCAAUGCAGGAGACCCAGGUUAGAUUCCUGGGUUAGAAA